rnacentral:misc_RNA from 1 species
CAUCUUGCUGCCACCACAGCAUUGCACCUUUUUUUUUGUCUCCAUUUCUCUCCCCCUCUUCUCUUUUUUUGUCGACUCCUCACGCGUACUGACCUCAUACGGUAGAGCAGAGAAGCAACCACUAUAAAAAAAAAACAAUCACGACCAUCGCAACCCGCCUCUCUCUCCCUCUCGCGCCUUUCGUUGCUUGGCCAUUACAAGCCGUCAUGUUCCGUGCCUCCUCUGUUUCCCGCAUUGCGCCAUCCCUGGCGUUGCUGAACACCGGCAAGGUCGUCUCGUGGAUGAGCGGCCGUGGCUUUGGCUUCAUCGAGGACAAUGCGGACAAGAGGCAGCACUUUGUCCACUUCUCUGCACUCCAGACGGAGACGGGAGGCUACCGCGCGCUCGCGGUUGAUCAGGAGGUCGAGUUCGAGGUGGCGUCGCAGGACGGACGUACCCGUGCUGAGAACGUGACAGCCCCCGGUGGCGGCAAGCUCCCCUCGGGCCCCCGCCCGCCGGAGGGUGCCCCAAGCGGUCGUGGUGGCUUCGGCGGUGGCCGUGGUCGUGGCCGUGGUGGCCGCAACAGCAACCGCCAAGACCGCGGAGGGGAUCGCGAUGGCGGCCGUCAAAAUGACAACAACUUCAGCGAUGAGUUCUAGGCGCCAGGAAGAAAGCUAAAAAAAAAAGAGAAAAGAGGACGAGCGAGAGAGCUUUGGCGCGAGCUGUGUUUCGCUGGGUGGCGCGGCAGCCGCGCUGCACUCGGCUUCGCCCGCUCUUUCUUCUUUCUUUUCCGCCCUUUCUGUGCCUUCUUGCUCCGUGAGGCUCCUAUAAAAGAGAGACUGACAGCUUUCAGCGUUAGCAUAGAGAGAGUCGACGGGUAUAUCUGCGUGUGUGCGUGUGGCUGACGGCGGCGCAUACAGCGCGCGCACACACACACAGAGGCACCUUUGUAACAGAGGUUGUCUGUGUGGCCAGGGGCGGUGGGGCGGGUUACGGCGAGAGCACAGUGGUGACAGCCAUGCCUUGAUGCAGGCAGGACGAACAGCGAGCAACUCGCUAAAAGCAAUGAAGGAAAGAAGCAGGCAGAAUCUUCUCUUAUGAAGGAAUUCCGUGCACCGUUCCUGUUCAUGUUUCUGCCUUCCGCUCCCCCCUCCCCUGCUGAGUCUCGUUGUCUCUACGGGGGCCCCCGCUGGGCGUGCUGCUGCUUCUCUUGCUCCUUCCUUCUUUGCCGUGACAUCUCAUCACAGGCCAAAGGAAGCCAGCGCCAGGAAAAGGCGAGAGGGAGGAGAGGGGAGACUGAAAGGGGGAGGGUGAGGAUCGAGUGUCAGGGGGAGGGUGGGGGGGGGUGUGGCAUUUCCAGCUGCACAUGCCGAGGGGCGAGGGAAAGGGUGGAGGGGUCGGCGAGGGAGACAGACAGGCGUGCGCAAAGCUCGAGGGAAGUGCAGCGACCGGGUGUGUGUCAUAGAACUCUGUCAGACUGAUGGGAAGUGCGGACGCAAGAAAGCAGCGCACUCCCGCGGUCUUCCAGCGUGUGGGAUGAAGAGGUGCUUUUGUCUUGUUUUUUGUGGCCUCCUCCUCUUUUGUCGCGUCGGGCAGUAAGCGUGCGCUCUUGUCGAAGUCUUGUGCGCGUGUGCCCGCACCCCUCCUCCUCGUCCUCCCCGCCUUUGUGUGACAGAAGUGCUCACGUCUUCGUGUCGAGAGUGUACACCCUUUCUGUGCUUGAUUGUGAACGUGUGCGCAUGUAUUUCGUGUUGGCGUUCGUUGUCUUUUUUUUUUGCUCUGUGGUUAAGGUGUCCGCGUGCCUGCGCGACUCGUCUUUUAAGGGCGUUUCUUCUUUUUUUCCUCCCUCCUUGGGCUUGGUAAGUAUGCAACAACCCCGACGUGUGUGUGCGCGCGCGUGUGCGUGUGCCCGUUUCUCUUUCUUUUUUUCUUGUGCUCACGUGCGUACCGUCACUCUCUGCGGCAGCGUCAGUGAUCGCAUCCCUGCAUUUCCGACGAAGCGAAGCGCCUCUUCCGCUUUUCUUAUUUUCUUUUCCAUUGUGAGCGUCGACACAUGUGCGCACACUAAUCUGGGUGCGAUCGUCGUCGCUUCUUUGAGAGAAGCAGAAGGGGAGAGGGAGGGCGGCCGUCAGAAGCGGGGCCAAGGAUGCAGCGGCCAGCACAAAGGUAGCAGCGACCGGCAGGCCGAAAGUAACCCGGUUUCAAUCAAUGGCCAUGAGAUAGAGGGCAGAGUUGCGGAAGCACAUAAUAGCUCGGUGUCACCACUAAACAGCAAACUAAGAGAAGAAAGGGUAAAGAAACUCACACCUACACACCCACACUCGCACACCCACAACGAAACACCUCAAGAAACAAACGCGCGCCCACGGAAGAUGCCGAAGGGGUGCGAAUCUCACGGAGCUGUCAAGGACUGGAU